CCUAGUUUAUCCUACUAGUAGUCAUAUGCCUGUGGCAACGAUUAAGCCAUGCAUGUCUAAGUAUGAACUAGUUCAAACAGUGAAACUAUAGAUGGCUCAUUAAAUCAGUUAUAGCUUUUUUUAUGGUACCAUACUACUCGGAUAACCAUAGUAAUUAUAGAGCUAAUACGUUCACCAAGUCCUAACUCUUUGGAAGGGAUGCAUUUUUUAGAUAAAAGGCCGGCGCGGGCUUGCCCGCUUCUUUGGUGAAUCAUGAUAACUCGAUGGAUCGCACAACCCUUGUGUUGGCGAUGCUUCAUUCAAAUUUCUACCCUAUCAACUUUCAAUGGUAGGAUAGAAGCCUACCAUAGUGGUGACAUGAGACAGAGAUUUAGGGUUCGAUUCUAGAGAGGGAGCCUGAGAAACAACGACCUCAUCCAUGGAAGGAAGCAUGCGCAUAAAUUACCUAAUCCUGACAUGGGGAGGUAGUGACAAUAAAUAACAAUAUUGGGCUCAUCGAGUUUGGUAAUUAGAAUCAGUACAAUCUAAAUCCCUUAACAAGGAUACAUUGGAGGCCAUGUCUAGUGCCAGCAACCAUGGUAAUUCUAGCUCCAAUAGCAUAUAUUUAAGUUGUUGCAAUUAAAAAGCUUGUAGUUGGAUCUUUGGUCAUAAAGGUCUAUCCGCCUACUCAGUGUGCACCUGUCCUUCUGUCCCCUUUUUCAGGGCGUGCUUCUAGCCUUAAUUGGUUGGGGUCAUGGAUCCGAUGUUGUUACUUUCAAAAAAUUAGAGUGCUCAAAGAAAGCUUAUGCUCUGAAUACAUUAGCAUGGAAUAAUGUGUUAGGAUUCUGGUCCUAAUGUGUUGGCCUUCGAUACCAAGUAAUGAUUAAUACAGACUAUCGAGGGCAUUCGUAUUUCAUUGUUAGAGGUGAAAUUCUUGGAUUUAUAAAAUAUGAAACACUACGAAAGCAUUUGCCAAGGAUGUUUUCACUAAUCAAGAACAAAAGUUGGGGGCUCAAAGAUGAUCAAAAACUAUCCUAGUUUCAACAUAAACAAUGUCAACCAGGGAUCGAUGGAUGUUGCUCUAAGAACUCCUCUAGCACCUUCUGAGAAAUCAAAUUGUUUGGGUUCCAGGGGAGUAUGGUUGCAAGGCUGAAAAUUAAGGGAAUUGAUGGAAGGUCACCACCAAGAGUGCAGUCUGUGGCUUAAUUUCACUCAACAUGGGUAAACUUACCAGGUCCAAACAUAGUAAGGAUUGACAGAUUGAGAGCUCUUUCUUGAUUCUAUGGGUGGUGGUGCAUGGCUCUUCUUAGUUGGUGGAGUGAUUUUUUAGGUUAAUUUCGAUAAUGAAUGAUACCUCAGCCUACUAACUAGCUACACAGAGGUUCCCUUUCAUAGCCAGAUUAUUAGAGGGACUAUGUCCAUUUAGACCAUGGAAUUUUGAGGCAAUAACAGGUUUGUGAUGCCCUUAGAUGUUCUGGGCCACACGUGCACUACACUGAUGCAUCCAAUGAUUUGUUUCUUCUUGGUUCAAGAGGAUCAGGAAAUAUUCUCAAAUUACAUUGUGAUGGGGAUAGACCAUUGCAAUUAUUGGUCUUCAACGAAGAAUUCCUAGUAAGCAUGUGUCAUCAACUCAUGUUGACUAUGUCCCUGCCAUUUGUACACACCGCCUGUCGCUCCUACCGAUUGAAUGAUCUAGUGAAGUGUUUGGAUUGGGUCGACAAUUUUGGUUUACCACUAUCAUCAUCAUGAGAAUUUCAUUGAACGUAAUCAUUUACAGGAAGGAGAAGUCGUAACAAGUUUACUGUAAGUGAACCUACGAUAG
rnacentral:rRNA from 1 species